AUUGAACGCUGGCGGCAUGCCUUACACAUGCAAGUCGAACGGCAGCACGAUCUAGCUUGCUAGAUUGAUGGCGAGUGGCCAAAGGGUGAGUAAUACAUCGGAACGUGCCACGUAGUGGGGGGUAAGUAGUCGAAAGAUUAGUUAAUACCGCAUAUGACCUGAGGGUGAAAGUGGGGGACCGCAAGUCCUAAUGCUAUAGGAGCGGCCGAUGUCGGAUUAGCUAGUUGGUGAGGUAAAGGCUCACCAAGGCGACGAUCAGUAGCUGGUCUGAGAGGACGAUCAGCCACACUGGGACUGAGACACGGCCCAGACUCCUACGGGAGGCAGCAGUGGGGAAUUUUGGACAAUGGGGGCAACCCUGAUCCAGCAAUGCCGCGUGUGUGAAGAAGGCCUUCGGGUUGUAAAGCACUUUUGUCCGGAAAGAAAUCGCACUUACUAAUAUUAGAUGUGGAUGACGGUACCGGAAGAAUAAGGACCGGCUAACUACGUGCCAGCCGCCGCCGUAAAAC
rnacentral:rRNA from 1 species